rnacentral:rRNA from 1 species
AACGUAGGAGGCAAGCGUUAUCCGGAGUGACUGGGCGUAAAGAGCGUGUAGGCGGUUGAGUAAGUGGCGUGUGAAAGCGCCCGGCUAAACUGGGCGAGGACAGGCAAGACUGCUGAGCUAGAGGCCGAUUGAGGGGUGCGGAAUUCCGGGUGUAGCGGUGAAAUGUGUAGAGAUCCGGAGGAACACCAGUUGCGCAGACGGCGGGCUGGAUAGGAACUGACGCUGAGGCGCGAAAGCGUGGUGAGCGAACAGG